rnacentral:rRNA from 1 species
AGAGUUUGAUCAUGGCUCAGGACGAACGCUGGCGGCGCGCUUAACACAUGCAAGUCGAGCGAGAACCAGGACUUCGGUCCUGGGGACAGCGGCGAACGGGUGAGUAACACGUGGGUAAUCUGCCCUCGAUUCUGGGAUAGCCCGGGGAAACCCGGAUUAAUACCAGAUAGCCUUUCGAGCUCUCGGGCUUGAAAGAAAAGGUAGCUUCGGCCUCCGAUCGAGGAUGAGCCCGCGGUGGAUUAGCUUGUUGGCGGGGUAAUGGCCCACCAAGGCGACGAUCCAUAGCUGGUCUGAGAGGACGAUCAGCCACACUGGGACUGAGACACGGCCCAGACUCCUACGGGAGGCAGCAGUGGGGAAUCUUGCGCAAUGGGCGAAAGCCUGACGCAGCGACGCCGCGUGGGGGAAGAAGGCCUUAGGGUUGUAAACCUCUUUCAGGUGGGACGAAGCCACUCGGGUUAAUAGCCCAGAGGGUGACGGUACCGCCAGAAGAAGCCCCGGCUAACUACGUGCCAGCAGCCGCGGUAAUACGUAGGGGGCAAGCGUUGUCCGGAUUUAUUGGGCGUAAAGAGCGUGUAGGCGGUUAGGUAGGUGGGUUGUGAAAACUGGAGGCUCAACCUUCAGACGUCGACCCAAACCCCCUGGCUAGAGUCCGGAAGAGGAGAGUGGAAUUCCUGGUGUAGCGGUGAAAUGCGCAGAUAUCAGGAAGAACACCCGUGGCGAAGGCGGCUCUCUGGGACGGUACUGACGCUGAGACGCGAAAGCGUGGGGAGCGAACAGGAUUAGAUACCCUGGUAGUCCACGCCGUAAACGAUGGGUGCUAGGUGUGGGGGGUGUCGACUCCCCCCGUGCCGAAGCUAACGCAUUAAGCACCCCGCCUGGGGAGUACGGCCGCAAGGCUAAAACUCAAAGGAAUUGACGG